CCCAUAGACUUAGGGGGGUACCUCUUGGGUUCUGAGUCAUACGAAGGACCACCAGUUUGAAAUGACACAUUUCUUAGUUCGCCUUUAGUUCUACAUUAUUAAUAAUGAACGUGGUGACCCCUGCUCUAGACGAUACUUUUCAUUAAAUCUAAUUUUGUCCAUACCUAUAUUUUCCUUUCAGCUGUAUUGAUUUUGGUUGUACAGAUAUUUAGUAAUGAAUCAAAUAAAAAUGCUUUGAGAAAUAAAACAUUUGAAAUACUUUUAACCUUACUUUAAAUACUGCCUGAAGCAGCACCGAUCUCCUAGUUUUUGUGUAAUCUUUUAUUUGUGCGACAUAAUUGUAAUUUAUUUUUGUUUUCUUUUAUUUUAAUCAGCUGCUGCGUCCUUAACGUUUUAUUUUGAAGUUGACUUCCUCUCAGCUUCCCAAGUUGCGUUAGCCCCGCCCACACGAAGGCCACGGAGAUGACGAGCUCCUCUGGGACGGAGCUGCUUCUGUUAGAUGAGUUUAUCGGCUAAAAUAAAAUAGAAACAUGUAAAACGUAUGUAUACUUUUAGGAGAUCAAAAGGAGCACGCGACCCGGAAAAAGGAACGUUUGGGCGGGAAUUUGGCUGGGAGCUUGAGCUGACAUCGCGAGAACAUCGCGUGCACCUAGCUUGAAAAGUCGUUUCACCCGCCUUUUUUUUUUUUUUUUAAAAGGAAAAUUUAUAAAAAAGAAUAAUAUAUAUAUAUAUUUCCAUUUCAAGAGUGAGAUUCACCAACGAAGAACAUUCAAGAUCUGCUGGGAUCCGAUUCUGGACCCUUCUUUGAAGCUCAGGAUUAGAACCCAUCAGAUGAUGGUGAGCAUGGAACCGAGGAUGCUGUCCAAUGAGAAUGAGGUGGAGGAGGGUUUGUCUAACCAUCUGGGAGGUGGAGAAGGUGGAGAAGAAGACGAUGGUGAUUGGCUGGAGAAUGCAGCUGAUCUUCACAGCUUCACAAAAGUGAAAAGUCAACCGACCCUGACAGCAAGACCAGGAUGGUUCUCCUCUACUGCUGGAGACCCGACGUACAUCUGUAAGGGAGCAAAGAGCGCCAUCUUCAGGCCCUCCAGCAAAUUCACACCGUUCCUCCAAACCAUCCUCAAACCCAGGAAUGGCGUGAGCCGGGUCCUCCAACACCUCGUUAGGAAGACGGACCAGAAAAGUAUUCACACUCAGUCAUUUCUGAAGAACACCGUACCCACUGUGAAGCAUGGAGGUGGAAGCAUCAUGAUGCGAGGCUGGACAGGACGACUGAUCCAUACACCUUCCAUCAUUCGGAGUACUGAGGACGGCUGGAUCUUCCACCAUGAUGACGACCCAAACACAUCACCUGGGCCAUGGAGGCGGGGCUUCACAGAGUGUCGGGGUUCUGGAGUGGCCCAGCCAAUCUCUGGACCUCAGUCCAACACAGAUCCUCCAGAACACGUGUCAAAUUUACUCCCGGUAUUUUCCGGUAAAGCCUCCUGAGUCUUCAUCCUUCAGAAGUGGUCAGACUGUAAACCUGUCCUGGAGUCUGUGCGGCCUCAGCUCCUCUUCCUCGUGCAGACCCUUCCCCUCCUCUGCAGCCGGUGCUCCAGGACGCUCCGGGCUGAAAGUAGGCCAGGAUUACUCCUGCUGGCUGGUCCUCAGUGAAGCGUGCGCUGCAUCUGUGUGUGCAUGCGGGCCGGCCAGCCAGCAGUCAGGAGAGAGCGGCGCAUAUGGAGCCUCAGCUUUGGGCCAGCAGCUUGUGGGAAAGAAAGAAAUCAAACAUGGAUCCCGUGGCGCUCCUUCACCUGUGCAGGUGUGUGAAAUUCGUCCUUUGAGGAGCUCAGGAUCAUUCUGUGGUUUGAACCCCCCAGUCCAACCCCCCCGAGGCUGAGUCAAGCAGGGACACACCAGCUCCUGUUUUUAGUCUUUGGAAUGACUCCGCCUGGAUUUGAACUCCUGACCUUCCAGACUGAGGGCGGACACUCUACCACAGGGCCACUGAGCUGGUGUAGGAAGCUGUUUCUGAAGCUUCGGCACCGGAUCAAACAGACUUCUGUGAGGUGAGAGUCCUGAGCGCUGUUCUCGUCUCCUGGAACGUCGUUGAAGUUCAGACAUCCCUUCAGCUGCUGUCUUUGUCCUGAUCUGGAGUCAAACCUUCAUCUGGAGAGACGGAUGUGUGAAGGUCAACAACAGUUGAACCAAAGCAAAGUUUGUGUGAAGCCCCGCCCCUUCAGCGCUUCACAUCCACCCCUUGAUGCUCUUGAAGUGUCGGCGCAGCACUUAGGAAUUAGGUCUUCACAUCCUGGUAUGGUUGUUAACCUUCAUAAUUUCCACCUCACACAAUGAACCCCAUUUCAAAUCCCCAAAGCUGCAGCUGUAAUUGUUCUCUUAAUUAGCUUGUAGAGCAGUGCUUAUGGCUGCAGAGGAGCGCCGGCGUGGCGUCUGUUCUCUGUCCUCUGCACGCCGCCGGGCCUGGAGGAAGCGGCGCUGUAUCUGUGAGCACUGGGAGCUCCGCAGGGAUUACGGCGCCCGUCUGACGCCAGAAGAACCGUCUGUGCUGAGCGUGACGUCAGCCUGAGCUCAUGUCUGACGUCCGGCAGCCUUCACCUGUGGAGCUGAUGUCUGGAGAGCAUCGCAGGUUCAGUCGGGACAAAAACAUCUGAGCUGCAACCAGACAUGAAAUCAGAACCAGAUCUGUAGUUCGGUGUGAACAGAACUGACAUUAGAUGUACGGUCCAGUUAGAUCAACUGUUUAGUGGCUGUCUUUGGGUUUACUGACAUUACUGGAGAUGAUCAAUAACGCCUGUUCUUUGUCUCAACUGCGACCGUUAACGUGACCAAUGCGAAUCAGCUGAUUCUGACGCGCGAAGAAACGUUUCAUAUCAGCUUCUUCUGUUCUAACAACCAUUUUCUCUGGAAUGACCAUUUCACAUCAACGGUUGAAGAGUUUCAGCCGUCAAAUGUAAAUAUUGGAGCCAGACCCUGAAGUGAAAGGGUUAACCUCCAACACGUGUCUCACACUGACUCACUGACUAUUGCAGCAACACACCACAAUAAAAGCAUGGAGUUUUAUUUUGAAAGUGCAGCUGUAAAGGACAGUUCUGCUCUCAUUGAGCGUCCCUUUAAAUAAAGUGGUAAAUGUUUCAAAA